GAUGAACGCUGGCGGCGUGCCUAAUACAUGCAAGUCGAGCGAAGCGGGGACGGGGGAGUAACACGUGGAUAACCUCCUAUAAGACUGGGAUAACUUCGGGAAACCGGAGCUAAUCCGGACUAUUUUAGCUGGAUCCGCGCUGCAUUAGCUAGUUGGUAAGGUAACGGCUUACCAAGGCAACGAUGCAUAGCCGACCUUAGAGGGUGAUCGGCCACACUGGAACUGAGACACGGUCCAGACUCCUACGGGAGGCAGCAGUAGGGAAUCUUCCGCAAUGGGCGAAAGCCUGACGGAGCAACGCCGCGUGAGUGAUGAAGGUCUUCGGAUCGUAAAGCUCUGUUAUUAGGGAAGCGGUACCUAAUCAGAAAGCCACGGCUAACUCCGUGCCAGCAGCCGCGGUAAUAC
rnacentral:rRNA from 1 species